AAUCAACGCUGGCGGCGUGCCUAACACAUGCAAGUCGAACGGUAACGCGGGGGCAACCCUGGCGACGAGUGGCGAACGGGUGAGUAAUACAUCGGAACAUGUCCUGGAGUGGGGGAUAGCUCGGCGAAAGCCGGAUUAAUACCGCAUACGCUCUGAGGAGGAAAGCGGGGGACCUGGUAACGGGCCUCGCGCUGCGGGAGUGGCCGAUGUCGGAUUAGCUAGUUGGUGAGGUAAAGGCUCACCAAGGCGACGAUCCGUAGCUGGUCUGAGAGGAUGAUCAGCCACACUGGGACUGAGACACGGCCCAGACUCCUACGGGAGGCAGCAGUGGGGAAUUUUGGACAAUGGGGGCAACCCUGAUCCAGCCAUGCCGCGUGAGUGAAGAAGG
rnacentral:rRNA from 1 species